GGAGAGGUGCCGGAGAGGCUAAACGGCCCUGACUCGAAAUCAGUGGGUGGAGCAAUCCACACGGGGGUUCGAAUCCCCCCCUCUCCGCCA
rnacentral:tRNA from 1 species